rnacentral:rRNA from 1 species
AACGAACGCUGGCGGCAUGCCUAACACAUGCAAGUCGAACGAGACCUUCGGGUCUAGUGGCGCACGGGUGCGUAACGCGUGGGAACCUGCCCUUAGGUUCGGAAUCACUCCCCGAAAGGGGUGCUAAUACCGGAUAAUGUCAUAGGACCAAAGAUUUAUCGCCUUUGGAUGGGCCCGCGUUGGAUUAGCUAGUUGGUAGGGUAAAAGCCUACCAAGGCGACGAUCCAUAGCUGGUCUGAGAGGAUGAUCAGCCACACUGGGACUGAGACACGGCCCAGACUCCUACGGGAGGCAGCAGUGGGGAAUAUUGGACAAUGGGCGAAAGCCUGAUCCAGCAAUGCCGCGUGAGUGAUGAAGGCCUUAGGGUUGUAAAGCUCUUUUACCCGGGAUGAUAAUGACAGUACCGGGAGAAUAAGCUCCGGCUAACUCCGUG